CUCUAGAUGAUGGAGAUAUACUUAUGGUGGUUCACUUCCUUCCCAUUACUGUUAAGGAUGAUGCUGAAUUAUGGACCCAAACGUUGGAAAGGACAUCCUCUUCUUAUUGCUCUGUGCUACUGAAGUUUUAGGAUUAUGACCAUGGAAUAUCCCUCUUCUUGCUCAGACGCCUAUCUGCUUUUCUUAUCUUUGUCAUGUUUAAACUCUUCUGUCUCUCGCAGGUGCUUUUGGAAGCGUGGCUUUCGACUCUGAAAUCUCAACUUUUUCUAGGAUUGAUUGUGGAGGAUAACUAUACUAUGGAUCGAUCGGCGAUUGAGGAGGAGGGUCUUCUUUUGGAAUUACUCCUGAACAGCAAGCUUUGUCAAAGGAUGGAUCACGACUAGCAGCAAUAUGAAGUGGCCUCAAGGAUUGUCAAAUUUUCUCUAGAGUAGCAGAGAAAGGCAUCAGUGGAGAUGAUGAUGAUGAUGAUGAUGAUGACUUGCUAAAGCGCAAGACCUUUUGUAGUUUCUGGAGUUGAAAAACCAACGACCAUCAAUAUGGAGGGACGGGUAAGUCAUUGGCUUUAGUUUCAGCUGGUAUGUUGCCGGGCUCUUGGAUUGCCACUAGAGCAGCCAAAGAGUGUAAACAUGGAGAGGUUGCAUGUCCUCCAAAAGGAGUCAAGAGAGACGACCACAAAUCUAUGAUACUGUUAAUCUUCUGGAGAGUGUUGGGUAUACCUGCAGGUCAGAGAUGGAUUGAAGAACGAAGAAGAAGACUCAUGCUGCUUAAGUUACUGUACGUGGGCUCCCAUCAUCUGCUCCACGGCAACAUUUGAAGGAUCAUUUGCGGAGAGCUUGUGAUGUGUGCUUUGCUCAGGUCACUCGAGACAGGUUUUGGAAAGGAGAUACUUUGAAGAAUGAAUGAAUGAUGAUGUUUCAGACUGUGGUCAGGGAGAUGGAUUGAAGGAUGAAGAAGAAUACUCAUGUCUGCUUUAUCUCAGAGAGAUGGAUUGAAGAAUGAAGAAGAUCACUUAAGCAGACUGCUUCAUAGCAAGAUUUGAAGGAUCAUAUGCGGAGAGCUUGUGAUGUGUGCUUUGCUGAGGUCAUUAAGUAUGUGAUCGGAGAUGGUUUGAAGAAAUGAAGAAGAAUCUAUAGGAAGCUGGUGAUGUGUGCUUUGCUGAGGUCACUCGAGACUGUGAUGGAACCCAUGGUGUCGUCUACUACACCAAUUAUGAUGACAUGAAGUAUGCUCUGUUUGCUCUGGUGUGCAGGCUCAUCCAUUGGAUUCACAUACAUCAUUUGUGUGAUUUCAUUCUCUUGUGCAGACUGUCCGUUUUAAAAAUGAGAAAUGCCCUCGACCAAUGUGCUACAAGGCAUACGGAAGUGGAAAGGAAGACAUCCCAAAUUAUGAUGUCCCCCGAUUUGAGAUGAUUCUGUUGGAAGCUGGUAAUGUGUGCUUCAUGGCAAGAUUUGAAGGAUCAUAUGCGGAGAGCUGGUGAUGUGUGCUUUGCCGAGGCCCCUCGAGACAGGUUUUGAGUCUUCCUCCUUGGACACGAUAUUCUCAUGGCAACAAUGCUCAACGGAGCAGCCAUCAUGGAUGGUGCACUACUUUUAAUCGCUGCAAAUGAGACCUGUCCGCAACCACAAACGUCUGAACAUCUUGCUGCCGUUAAGAUUAUACAACUUAAGCAUAUCAUAAUGCUUCAGAACAAGAUUGAUCUCAUUCAAGAGAACUCAUUCAAGAGAACGUUACCAUUAAUCAGCACAAGGCAAUCCAGCAAUACGUCCUUGUGGAAAAUUCUUUCUAUGAUAUUGUGGUGGGUGAUGUCAUACCUCUCAACAUUUGAAAUCAGGUUCCGGCGGAUGGAGUGCUACCUUGAUGAGUCUAGCUUGACUGGAGAGAGCAAAAUGGUGUGUUUUCUUGUUUCCUAUCACAGUGAAAUCGUUGACUAAAGUUGCCUGCAACUAUCACUUCGUUUGUUUUUUCCCAGAGUUUUAUACUUAGGAGUGGAAGAAAGAAUGAUUCGUAUGUUUCCUCUCCUUCAGCUGUGGAUGAAUUUUCGAGACAACCAGGUCGCAGUCUUCUAUGCUUCAUGCUUUUCCGCUUAAGUCAGAGAAGACAUGUGGUGGUGUUGCUGUAAAAAACGGCUGAUUGUGAAAUUCAUGUUCACUGGAUAGGAGCUUCUGAAAUUGUCCUGGCAUCUUGCAUAAGCUACAUCGAUGAAUGGCACCAGUGACUGAAGACAAAGGCAUUGGUUUCAACAAUGGAAUUGAAGAGAUGACUGUAAGAACCUUACGAUGUGUUGCACUGGCCUUUAAAGAACGUUGGAGGCUGAAAGGUCCCAACAGGCGAAGAGCUCUCAAAGUGGGUACUCCCGGAGGAUGACCUUAUUGUACUAACUAUAGUAGGCACAAAGGAUCCAUUUAGACCAGGAGUCAAAGAUGUGUCAAAAUGCUUCUGUCAAGAUGUUCAGGUCCCGAGGUCCGUAUGGUGAUUGGUGACAAUGUCCAAUUUGCCAUGGCUAUUGCACCAGAGGCUCAUCUAUUCCGUUUUAAGAAUGAAUUUGAGAGUAACAUUGCCAUUAGAUUAAAGCUUGGAUAUGCAAAUGCCAAGAUUUACUAAUGCGAGGAUCCUAUACCAAUGUGCUACAAGGCCUAUGGAAGUGGAAAGGAAGAAGCCCCAAAUUGUGAUGUCCCCGGAUUUGAGAACUUGAAAAUGAAACUGUUGAGGCAUGCUAUCGUCCCCGUCUCAGCAACUGAAAUACAAAAUCAAUGGUGUGUGCGCUUCUCCUCCCUUUAACGCGGUCUCCCCAAUCAGGAAGAUAUUGGUGCCAAGUGAUGAUCGGAGGAGCCGGGAUGUUGGCGUUUCUUCUUCUGAUUUGACCGACCGCCAAGUACAGGUCAGCGAGAUGGAUUGAAGAAGAAUACUCAAGUCUGCUUUAUCUCUGAUAGAUGGAUUGAAGAGUGAGAAGAAGAAGACUUAAGCAGUCUGCUUAAGUGAUCCUAAUGGAAGUUAUAAGAAGACACUCUGAAUUCUGAGUUACUGUUCGUGGGCUCCCAUCAUCUCUUCCAUGGCAACAUUCGAAGGUUUUAACAAGAAGAGCUAAGAAUCAGUAUACGUGGAAAGGUCUUGGCUGCAGCUUUGAAGGAGCUACAAAUCAGAGAGAUGGAUUGAAGAAUGAAGUAGAAGACUCAAGUCUGCUUUAGGAACCCAUGGUGUCGUCGACAACAACAGUUAUGAUGACAUGAAAGGCUCAUCCAUUGGACUCACAUCACAUACAUCAUUUGUGUGAUUUCAUUCUCUUGCGCAGACUGUCCGUUUUAAGAAUGAGAAAUGCCCUAGACCAAUGUGCUAUACAAGUGAUUCCUUCCUUGCAACAAUGUUUUUCUUGUCUUCUUCUACUGUAUAUGCUUCCUGUCGUGGUCUGCUUUUUUAGGGCCUAUGGAAGUUAAAAAGAAGACACCCCAAAUUGUGAUGUCCCCGAAUUUGAGAUUCUAUAGGAAGCUCGUGAUGUGUGCUUCAUGGCAAGAUUGAAGAAAAGCUUGAAGGAAGGAGAUUAUGAUGGGAUAUUUUAUGCUCUCUAGACAUCAAAAACAAAAUGUGAGGAGUUGCUUAUGGAUCUUACUGUUUUUGUUUGCAAUGGGACCUGUGAUAGCAUAUCGCAGGAAGACGCACACACAAGUUUCUUCUCCUCUGUGGUGUAGAGCUACGUAGCAUGAGGAAUGGUUCCAGGUUCAAGGUUUUCUCGUUAGCUAGAUCUUGAUUGAGGAAUACAUUCUUGUGCACAAGGCUCUAUAGCAUAAUGCAAAGAAGCUGGCAGAUCUGGUGACACCAUCCAAUGUAGAGACAGGAAUCACAGGAGCCAUUUUGACAAAGCUAGAUGGUGAUUCAAGAGGUGGUGCUGCUUUGAGUGUCAAGGAGGUAUCAGGAAAACCAAUUAAACUGGUAGGACGUGGAGAGCGAAUGAAGGAUCUUGAACCCUUUUAUCCAAAUCGAAUGGGAGAUGUGCUUUCAUUUGUAUAGAAGGCAACAUAAGUUAUACUGAAGAUUUACAGAAGAAGAUAAUGAGUGCAAAGUUCUGACAUCAACGAUUCUGCUCUCUCAACAACUAAAACAGAUAAGCAUGUCAAUGUUGAUUCUCAGGAUCUUACUGUUUUUGUUUGCAAAGAGACCUGUGAUAGCAUAUCACGCGAAGGCGCACACACUAGUUUCGUCACCAGAGGCUUAUCCAUUGGACUCACAUUUAUAUAUAUAUCAUUUGUGUGAUUUCGUUCUCUUGUGCAGACUGUCCGUUUUAAGUAUGAGAAAUGCCCUCGACCAAUGUGCUAUACAAAGGAGAAUAAAGAAAUAAAUUAUGAUCAAUUAGUAGAAGCGAAACUGAGCAGAGUUAGAACAGUGUCCCGAAACUAAAAAAAUUGGUGAGAAACUGAGACCCUCUGACUUGGCAACGAAAAUGAAACGAUUGAGAAGUUGAGUUUCGUUUAACUUUCCACUCAUGCUCCUUGCUCUUUUAUAUAAGUUGAGGUCGGGAAAACUAACCAUGCAUAGAAGCUAAUGAUGAUGUUGUUUUAUUUCAGGAACCAUUGGACAUGUCACUCAUGGAAUGUCCCCUGUUGUGAAAGUGUGACUGGUGUGCAGGGCCUACGGAUUGUGAUGUCCCCGGAUUUGAGAACUCCAAGAUGAAACUGUGAAGUUAGUAGGUAGAGUUAGAACAGUGACCGAAAACAAAAGAAAAUGGUGAGAAACUGAAGCCCUCUGACCAUCACAGAGGGGUUCUGAACGUCGUCGUUAGUAUUGUUUUUAUUUUGUUUUCUCGUGUAAAGUAUAAAAAUAAAAUCCCAAAUCAUAUAUGAAAAGAAAAUAAAAUUGAAACCCAGAUUUUGUCAAAGACAUUGUGGCGGCUUAUUUAAAACCCGCUGAACUAGAAAGAGGGUUAAGUUUUGUUUUG